UACGGAGGAUCCAAGCGUUAUCCGGAUUUAUUGGGUUUAAAGGGUGCGUAGGUGGCUUUUUAAGUCAGGGGUGAAAGCCGGUAGCUUAACUAUCGCAGUGCCUUUGAUACUGAAGAGCUUGAAUGAACUAGAGGUAGGCGGAAUGUGACAAGUAGCGGUGAAAUGCAUAGAUAUGUCACAGAACACCAAUUGCGAAGGCAGCUUACUAUGGUUUUAUUGACACUGAGGCACGAAAGCGUGGGGAUCAAACAGG
rnacentral:rRNA from 1 species